AAAUUGAAGAGUUUGAUCAUGGCUCAGAUUGAACGCUGGCGGCAGGCCUAACACAUGCAAGUCGAGCGGUAACACAGAGAGCUUGCUCUCGGGUGACGAGCGGCGGACGGGUGAGUAAUGUCUGGGAAACUGCCUGAUGGAGGGGGAUAACUACUGGAAACGGUAGCUAAUACCGCAUAACGUCGCAAGACCAAAGUGGGGGACCUUCGGGCCUCAUGCCAUCAGAUGUGCCCAGAUGGGAUUAGCUAGUAGGUGGGGUAAUGGCUCACCUAGGCGACGAUCCCUAGCUGGUCUGAGAGGAUGACCAGCCACACUGGAACUGAGACACGGUCCAGACUCCUACGGGAGGCAGCAGUGGGGAAUAUUGCACAAUGGGCGCAAGCCUGAUGCAGCCAUGCCGCGUGUAUGAAGAAGGCCUUCGGGUUGUAAAGUACUUUCAGCGAGGAGGAAGGCGUUAAGGUUAAUAACCUUGAUGAUUGACGUUACUCGCAGAAGAAGCACCGGCUAACUCCGUGCCAGCAGCCGCGGUAAUACGGAGGGUGCAAGCGUUAAUCGGAAUUACUGGGCGUAAAGCGCACGCAGGCGGUCUGUCAAGUCGGAUGUGAAAUCCCCGGGCUCAACCUGGGAACUGCAUUCGAAACUGGCAGGCUAGAGUCUUGUAGAGGGGGGUAGAAUUCCAGGUGUAGCGGUGAAAUGCGUAGAGAUCUGGAGGAAUACCGGUGGCGAAGGCGGCCCCCUGGACAAAGACUGACGCUCAGGUGCGAAAGCGUGGGGAGCAAACAGGAUUAGAUACCCUGGUAGUCCACGCCGUAAACGAUGUCGACUUGGAGGUUGUGCCCUUGAGGCGUGGCUUCCGGAGCUAACGCGUUAAGUCGACCGCCUGGGGAGUACGGCCGCAAGGUUAAAACUCAAAUGAAUUGACGGGGGCCCGCACAAGCGGUGGAGCAUGUGGUUUAAUUCGAUGCAACGCGAAGAACCUUACCUACUCUUGACAUCCAGAGAACUUAGCAGAGAUGCUUUGGUGCCUUCGGGAACUCUGAGACAGGUGCUGCAUGGCUGUCGUCAGCUCGUGUUGUGAAAUGUUGGGUUAAGUCCCGCAACGAGCGCAACCCUUAUCCUUUGUUGCCAGCGGUCCGGCCGGGAACUCAAAGGAGACUGCCAGUGAUAAACUGGAGGAAGGUGGGGAUGACGUCAAGUCAUCAUGGCCCUUACGAGUAGGGCUACACACGUGCUACAAUGGCAUAUACAAAGAGAAGCGACCUCGCGAGAGCAAGCGGACCUCAUAAAGUAUGUCGUAGUCCGGAUUGGAGUCUGCAACUCGACUCCAUGAAGUCGGAAUCGCUAGUAAUCGUAGAUCAGAAUGCUACGGUGAAUACGUUCCCGGGCCUUGUACACACCGCCCGUCACACCAUGGGAGUGGGUUGCAAAAGAAGUAGGUAGCUUAACCUUCGGGAGGGCGCUUACCACUUUGUGAUUCAUGACUGGGGUGAAGUCGUAACAAGGUAACCGUAGGGGAACCUGCGGUUGGAUCACCUCCUUACCUUAAAGAA
rnacentral:rRNA from 1 species